GUGCGGCCUCGAAUGUGUGUAAAUACAUGCAUUUUUGUAUUACAAUUAAAUCUGUGCGUUUGUACAAUUUAAGUAUAACGGAGGACAAUUCUGAAACUUAUACAUACAACAAACCUUCCUCUUGUUUUAACAACAUUUAAACAUCCUUAUACUGAAUGUAGUAAGGGAGCUACCAUUUGAUUUUUAUGGGGGGGCUAGGAUGAAAAAUUUUGUCCUGCAUUUUUUUUUAGUUGUAAUCUCUGUCCUGCCUUUUUAUUUUUCACUCUAUUGGGUCCUGCCUUUUUUUUUUAGUUUAUCCUGACUUUUUUUUACCUUAAUUGUCAUCCUGACUUUUUUUUUUUUGCAAGUGUCUCAUCCUGCCUUUUUUUUUACUCAAAAUUCCUGUCCUGCCUAUUUUUUUCAAAUUUCAUCCUAGCCCCCCAUAAAAAUCAAAUGGUAGCUCCCUAAGUCGAGUACACCCUAUUAAGCUAAACAUGUUUCAUAUAAGUUUUCAGGAUGUUAAUUUAUUGAAAUAUAUUUGUGUUAUUUCGAAAAAUGACACCUUCUAAAUGUAUCGUAAAUAACUUUGCAAUCACUACUAGAAUACAGUGAAAUAAAGAUUUUAACAACAUUUAACAUCCUUAUACUGAAUGUAGUAAGUCGAGUACACCCUAUUAAGCUAAACAUGUUUCAUAUAAGUUUUCAGGAUGUGAAUUUAUUGAAAUAUAUUUGUGUUAUUUAGAAAAAUGACACCUUCUAAAUGUAUCGUAAAUAACUUUGAAAUCACUACUAGAAUACAGUGAAAUAACGACUGAUCAUACAGUUUCAAAAUAUACAAGCGAGACUGAUCGUACAGUGAGAAAUUCAAACAAGUGUUAUUUUCUUAUUUCUGGCUUCAAAGAUCUGGUUGAAACUUUUACCACCACUUGAAAUAUAUUUCAUUUAGUUAAUUAAGUCUGGUAUUUACGUUAAUUUGUACACUAAGAGGGUAAAAAGAUUGUUUUUAGGUUCACAGACUGAUUGUCCUUAGUGAUGCACUUGAAAAUCUAUUGAUUAAGACAGAGAUACGAAUAAUGAAUGUGCUAAAUUUAAUUCUAAACCAUUUGAGAAUAUCGAUGUCAGCUGAAUUAAUCAUUCAGCAAUGUACAGAUGAUCCACUUACCGUUUAAUUCAGUAUAUCCAUCAAAUUUCACAUGCUAUCCAAAAAGUUCUCGCUUCGAAAAUCGCGACUUCCGGAUAGCGUACAGAAUAGUAUCUACACUGUGUAUAAAUGAACUGUACAUCACCUGUUGAUAAUAAUGAAAAAGAUAUUCUGUGUCAUUUGGGCAUUAAAAAGAGCUUAACUUGCAAAAAAACAACGC
rnacentral:lncRNA from 1 species